rnacentral:rRNA from 1 species
ACGCCUUAUACAUGCAAGUCGAACGAAGUAGCAAUACUUAGUGGCAGACGGGUGAGUAACAUGUGGGUAUCUUCCCUUUGGCCUGGAAUAACACGAGGAAACUUGUGCUAAUACCGGAUAAGUCUUUACAGAGAAAGCUUUAUGCACCAUUGGAUGAGCCCGCACUUGAUUAGUUUGUUGGUGGGGUAAUGGCCUACCAAGACAAUGAUCAAUAGCUGAUUUGAGAGGAUGAUCAGCCACAUUGGAACUGAGACACGGUCCAAACUCCUACGGGAGGCAGCAGUAGGGAAUCUUGCACAAUGGAGGAAACUCUGAUGCAGCGAUGCCGCGUGAGUGAAGAAGGCCCUUGGGUUGUAAAGCUCUUUCGUCGGGGAAGAAAAUGACUGUACCCGAAUAAGAAGGUCCGGCUAACUUCGUGCCAGCAGCCGCGGUAAUACGAAGGGACCUAGCGUAGUUCGGAAUUACUGGGCUUAAAGAGUUCGUAGGUUGUUAAAAAAGUUGGUGGUGAAAUCCCAGAGCUUAACUCUGGAACUGCCAUCAAAACUUUUUAGCUAGAGUAUGAUAGAGGAAAGCAGAAUUUCUAGUGUAGAGGUGAAAUUCGUAGAUAUUAGAAAGAAUACCAAUUGCGAAGGCAGCUUUCUGGAUCAUUACUGACACUGAGGAACGAAAGCAUGGGUAGCGAAGAGGAUUAGAUACCCUCGUAGUCCAUGCUGUAAACGAUGUGUGUUAGACGUUGGAAAUUUAUUUUCAGUGUCGCAGCGAAAGCAAUAAACACACCGCCUGGGGAGUAC